UUGAGGCUCUGUUCCAGGGGCUGCCUAUUAAAGCCCUUGUUAUUUAUUAGUUUAGAUGCACUUCAUACGUCUUCCACUAGAUGUCGACAAGGAGUGAGAGAAGAAAUGGACUGUGUAACUUGAUCUGGACUCGAAUUACAGCUCAUGGAAUGACGUGUCCUCCAUUUCCUGUUUUCAGGAAGGCGCGAAGAGAGACAUGGAUUUGCCUUCUGUUUAGCUGUCGUUAUAGGCGACUACUAUCUCCGGCUUUGAUUUUAUUUGAUACAUGUGACCAUAUCAUCGUAAAGUAUGUUUUUUCAAUAUAGUUUAAUCAGAUUAUUGAAAAAAAAUUGGGAGUUUUGCCGUGUUCCGUUCUCUGACUUUGUUGACGAUGGAGCGAUUCGUGCCACUUGGCUAGUGCGCUUGCUAAAUCAAGAGGGAAAGUGGCCGUUCUAAAUCCAAACAACGACUGUUCUGGACAAAGGACCCCUUGUCCAACAUUCUGAUGAAAGAUCAGCAAAAGGGCAGUAUGUAUUUCCUGUCGCCUCAUGCCACCGGCCCAGAGCCACACUACUUUGCGCUUUUGGAAAUCCAAGACCCUGUCUGCCUCCUGCUGUGGGUCAUCAGGCUCAUAAAGAGAGUGUGAGAGAUCACAUGGUGUUCUUCAUGGAUAGUAAUAAAGGCAUGGUGAGGUAAGCAGAACCAAGGGAUGGGUACACCUGCCUGUUCUCUCUUUUUUUGCUAUUGGAAGAAGACCACUACUCACCGCCGACGCUCCACCUUCAUUCUAUGGAUGCGAUUUUUUUUGGAUUUUUUUUCUAUUGUCUGUUUGUGUUCAGUGUUCACUAUUAAUAAGAAAAGUUUGCUCAAGUUAAUAUUUUAAUGGCACACCUAAUAAAACAUAGUCGAGCAUUGAACAUU